rnacentral:rRNA from 1 species
AAAGGUUUAAACUUUUCGAUAAUGAGAAUGAUUGACUGAUUCAUCAAUUAAUCCGUAACGUAGUGGGUUACGGAGGUUAUUACGAAUAACGGAAAAUUAGGGUUUGAUUCCGGAGAGGAAGCGAGAGUAUUGGCUUCCACUUCUAAGGAAGGCAGCAGGCGCGGAAAAUUCUCAAUGUCAAUUCGACGAAGAUGUGACGAGAAAUACCAGUACAGGGCUUUUAAGAACUGUGAUUGGAAUGAGAACAAUAUAAAACCGUUAACGAGGAACAAUUGGAGGGCAAGUCUGGUGCCAGCAGCCGCGGUAAUUCCAGCUCCAAGAGCGUAUCUUAAAGUUGUUGUGGUUAAAAAGCUCGUAGUUUAUAUUUGAUAAAUUUAUCAAGAGUUUGAAUCUGAAAGAGGAAAAUGAUUGAAAGUGUUUAUGAAUGUUUAGCUAACAUUAAGCGGUGUAUAAUGUAUGCCUGGUUUACUCCUUGUAUGUAUUAUGUAUCGUGUUAGUUAACAGUUACUGUGAAAAAAUUAGAGUGUUCAAAACAGGCAUUUAUGGCUAUUGAAUAUAUUAGCAUGGUAUAACGAAAUAUGACAACUCUAUUACGUUUGAGUGGUACUAUAUCAGUUGAGUAAUUAGAGAUGUAAUGAUUAAAAGGAGCAGUCGUAGUGACUUUUACUUAAUGGAAAGAGGUGAAAUUCUAUAACCCAUUAAAGAAAAACAACUGCGAAAGUAUUUCACUAGAAUGCUUUCACUAAUCAAGAACGAAAGUUGCGGGAAAGAAGAUGAUUAGAUACCGUCGUAUUCGCAACUAUAAACUUUGUCGAUUUAGGAUUGCAAAUCGUUGCAUUGAUGACAUUUGCAGUACUAUGUGAGAAAUCAAAAUAUUUAGACUCCAGGGGGAAUAUGGUCGCAAGUCUGAAACUUAAAAGAACUGACGGAAGGGCACCACCAGGCGUGGAACCUGCGGCUUAAUUUGACCCAACGCGAGAAAACUUACCAGGUCAGGACACAAAAAGGAUUGACAGAUUGAUAGCUCUUUCAUGAUAUUGUGAAAAGUGGUGCAUGGCCGUUGCUAGUUGGUGGUUUGAAUUGUCAGGUUAAUUCCGUUAACGAACGAGACCAUAACCUACUAAAUAGUUGAACUAUUUUUAUUGCAGUUACAGGGUGAAAGCCUUGUACUUUGUUGAAAUACAGAGUUUGUAAUAUAUCUAAAUAGGUUACAACUUCUUUAUGGGACAAUC